rnacentral:misc_RNA from 1 species
AGUGACCCAAGGAGCGACCGUGCGCGCGUGUGUGCUCUGCGCAGACAUCGGCGAUAGAGGGGCAAACUCUUUUCUCAAAGACGCAACCCUCUUCUUCAAGCCUCUCGGUCCUGCCCCCCCCCCCCCCCCCCCCCAUCCACCCCGCCACACACACACACACACACACAACCUACCUACCUACCUUGCUUGUGGGCUCUAUCGACGAAAAAAACGACGGUACCACGCACUCCCACACCAUUAUCCCCCCUUGCUACCAUUUCCGUUCUGUGUGCCCUUGGGCACCCGUGCGAUGUGGAGGCGAUAUGUUCACCACGCAAGACCCUCAGGACAUCGUUGUCCUGAAGACGGCGGCUUUUCGGCACGCGACGCGUCGAGCGCGCCAUCGAAUGCUUGCCUCAGAAGCGUCCACAGCCUCGCCGUUGCGCGCAGUUUCGCAAGUAACACUACGCCCAAAUAGUCACGAAGCGAUGAGAGGCGCACACAAUACGGACAGUGGGCGCGAAUCGUUGAUAGCAACAACUACGGCACGCUCGGUGCCGUGCUUCACGUUUAAGCUGCCUAUACGGCCUGCCGCUAGGCCAGAUGCCAGCACGGGUGCUGGUGGGGGUGGCAUUAGUGCACCACGCUCGCAGGUGGCGCGUGCAGCCCUGGAAGAGGCGCUACAGAAGCACGAAGCUGCGCUCCGAUCCUGGGCAGAUGAACCUGCCCAGCACAUCUCACCCAGUACGAUGGAGGCGAUAGGCGUCCACUUGGGGCCCGCUGCGGUGCUGUCGUCCGCGACGCAGCCUCCACAAGGACUAGAGAAACUGCAUACAGGGGUGGUGCGCAUGCACUUUCAGCCUUCUGCAGGCGACUCAGCUUCCCGUGUGGCGGCGUUGGCCCAGCCGUACUGUAGAGUCCUCGCUCAGGGAUCGAUGGCUGGCACGGGCGUCCCAACCCAGGUGGUUCCGACGCGGACGUCAGCGGAAGUGGCAAUUUCGGGUGCUGCCAUGGAAGCACAUCACGACGCAAAGUGUGGUGGGGCGCCUGAGGCACUUUCGGAGCGCUCGAGAGACGACGGAUAUGCUGCUUCCGCGUCCUCAUCAUCGUGUGCACCGCAAGCGCAACGCGAUCACCAAAUAUUCGUCCCUCUUGCACGCCGCGCAGCUCUGACAUCAGGGGCUGCCUGCACCUCCCGCCAUGGUAUGCCGCUUGUGCCCUACCAGCUUCCACUGCGUAUGCGGCCCAGCGUUCCGGGGCCGGCGCUGCCGAACGCACCCGCCGCAACUAGAAGCCCCUCACCACCGGCUGAAACCACGCGACGCGCGUUCCUCGACGAGCAGGCUAAGCGAUACGCGCAGUGGCGUAGCCGCCAAGCCGCCGUGCUGCACCAGCUGGCGCCGGACAUGUGGGACCGCGCGUUGCCGCACUACGCAGCGUUGGAUCGGCAGCCACGCGCCAUGGACAGUGGCUUGCGCAACCACGCCUCUCACGUGCGUCGGUCACAGUACGAUAGUGGCGUUGUAUUUGUGUAGCCGAAGCGUAUCCGUGCCUGCAUCGUUGCCGGUCUCCAGCGGCUGCUGGCGUAGCGCUCCUUCCUGCCUCUCCCGCCAUCACUCACAGCUCCGCCUCACGUGUCGCACUCUGGCCCCUUGUUGUCACCUUUCUGGUUGGACAGGAUUGCCUUGUGCAUUUUCUGCACCCGCCCGUCCUCCCCCUCUUGCCUCGUUGCCGACCCUUUCUAACACACACGCACACAUAAAUAUAUGAACAUGCAUGCGUGGCCGUACACGUCACGUCAUGCUACGCGUCUACGCGUGCGGGUGCUCGUGUUUUGUGGGUUGUGCCGAGCUGGUUGCUUAUUCUUGUACAUCACUUGACCUGACAUUGUUUCCACUGUACCGCGGCAUCAACCUUUUCAACUGAGGAGUGCAUGUGCGCAUGUGUGCGUGUGUGGCGAUCACAACAGCACCGCGUCACGGCCGCACCACCGCUGAUUCUUCCACCCUUAAUUUUUUUUUCGUUUCUUGUCGUGCAUGCACGCGUGUACACCGUCUUCUGAUGCCUUCGUUGCCGCCACCGCCACCGCCUCCCUUCCCUCCUUGCUUGCAGGACCGUCUUGGUGCGCCGUGGGAUAGUGCUCUGUGUCGCAUUCGUCAAUGGCUCACAAGUGACAGGCGAUGGGCGAUCGUUCGACGCUUCUAUGAACGGCGUCGCGUUGCAUUCUUUUUUUUUUUUCAGCCUUUAAGGGCUCUCGUGCUCGCUGAUGACGAGGGGACAACGCCCCGCAGGGCGUGGUGUCUCAGGGUGCAGCGCAGCAGCCCCACCUACCCCUGCCAGUGCUCAACCGCUUCUCGUGGCGGCAGGGCGUGAGGUCCUGGACGGCGUUGCGUGGGGGAGGGGCGACCUGCCAGGGCGAACACGCUUCUGCGAUCGAUAUGGUGGGCAGAGCGUCGGCGUGACUCGAGCGUCUCCCACCCCCGGCCCUCACACUGUCUACUGGCGUGGGGGUGCCUGAGUGCCACCCGCGAGGAGGAUGCACGACGUGGCGACCUGCCUGAUGGGGGAGCGGCUGUGAGGCGACAUGCGAGGCGGCGGAUUUGUAGAGUCUGGGGCAGAGGCCGUGCUGCGAUGACUGGGUCCGCAUCGCUGUAACGCGCGUGUCUAGGGCUGCUGCGCGCGACGUGAUGGGCGCCUGUGGGGCAGGCCGUGUGGUGGUGGUGGUGGUGUCGAGGGGAGCACUGACCUCAUGCUGUAUGGCAGAGAAUGACCACGCGAGAG